CAGUAAAAAAAUUCAACUGGACCAUCCAAAUUAUGUAAGGCACAUUAUACAAGCCUCAACUGGUUCACACGUGAAAUAUUGGGAAAGAAACCCUAACUGCGAAACCUAUUCUCACGAACGAGAGAAACGAAUUCACGAACGACUAAAUAAAAAGUUUGUUGUUGUGCGCCGUCGAUCAUGUUGCUGUCCUCCGUCAGUCGUAUUGACACGAGUGUGUUGCUAUGAUUGAUUCUCGUAUUUCUGGUUGUUGACAUUAUCGACGAAUUUUCAUGGAGUUCUGCUAAUGAAAUUCAUCGGAUAUUUCGGACCUCUAAAAUAUUUGGAGUGACUUUGUUUCAGUAGGAGACUUGGAGUAGAAGACUGGUAUUUAUGUUGUUUACUUAUGUACAGAUGACAUAUCAAGUUGAGUGCAUUUUUGUUUCUUAUUGGAGAUGAAGUUGAAUAAGAAUGAGGUUGCAGAAUGGUGUUGCCAGAUUUUAUGACAUAAUGGAUAAAACCUCGUGUGGAAUUAAAGGCUUCUACUUCACUUCACAAUCCUUACAAUUACCUACUCAUGAUAAGAGGAGCACAUGUUUACUUGGCUGUCAGCAGGUCAUCCCUUGGGUCAAUGUGGUUGCCUAUUAAGGACUGAAUCACAACUGUCCUAGAGUGGUUUUUCCACUGGCGGCCUAGGUAUCUAUGAAGAUGAUAAAGAGGGCGACAAUGUAAGUGAGGAAUUUUAAGAGGACGACAGAAGUGAUGAAUAUAAGGUAGAUGAUGAUUCAAGAGAACGGUAUAAGUGAUGAACUUCAAGAAGAUGACAUAGAUGAAGAGGAUGAUGAAUUCGAAAAACUUAAAUGAGUUGGAUGAUGCUCUUUUAGGUUUGUACUUAAGUAUUAAAUUACGUAUUUUGUCAUUUUUUUUUACUUAUAUUAAUAAGUAUUAAACGUAUAAUAUUAAUUAAUGUUAGAUAUUUUGUGUCUA